GGCAGAGAUGCUCACUAUUACCCACGGAGGCACCGGGCCGAGAGGGCGUGGACACAGGAGCCAGAGGAGGAGGAGCACAGGCCACAGAAUUCAUACUCUGCAUUUAUCCAGCUGAUGCCAGUUUUCAUCAUCAUAAUAGUGUCAGUUAUAACCCAGCUGAUGGCCACCAACCCACCC